UUCUGUUGUCUUUUCCUUGCUCCAAUAUAGCUCUACUCUCUAGCAUUUUUGUGCUAUUAUUAUCAUAUAUAUUACAUCUUCAUAUGUUAUAAACCCAACAAUAUACAAUUGACCCUUGAACAAUGCAGAGGCUGGGACACUGACCCCCUUCACAGUUGAAAAUCUACGUAUAACUUUUGACUCCCCCCACAUUUAACCACUACUAGCCUACUAUUGACCAGAAGCCUAAUAACAUAAACAGUAUGUUAGCACAUAUUUUUCUAUGGUCUUGCUGUCUCAGGAGUGGCAGAGAUGGAAGAGGUGGAGGAGGUGGAAGGGGAAGCAGGAAAGGCAGGCAUAGUUGGUGUAAUUUUAUGGAAAUACAUAAUAUUUUCUGCCUUUUUGCUUUUUCAUU
rnacentral:lncRNA from 1 species